rnacentral:rRNA from 1 species
UACAGAGGGUGCGAGCGUUAAUCGGAAUUACUGGGCGUAAAGCGUGCGUAGACGGUUAUUUAAGUCGGGUGUGAAAGCCCCGGGCUCAACCUGGGAAUUGCAUUCGAGACUGAAUAGCUAGGGUACGGUAGAGGGAAGUGGAAUUUCCGGUGUAGCGGUGAAAUGCGUAGAUAUCGGGAAGGAACGCCGGUGGCGAAAGCGACGUGCUGGAUCUCUUCUGACGCUGAGGCGCGAAAGCUAGGGGAGCAAACAGGG